GACGAACGCUGGCGGCGUGCUUAACACAUGCAAGUCGAACGGGAAGGCCCUGCUUUUGUGGGGUGCUCGAGUGGCGAACGGGUGAGUAACACGUGAGUAACCUGCCCUUGACUUUGGGAUAACUUCAGGAAACUGGGGCUAAUACCGGAUAGGAGCUCCUGCUGCAUGGUGGGGGUUGGAAAGUUUCGGCGGUUGGGGAUGGACUCGCGGCUUAUCAGCUGGUUGGUGGGGUAGUGGCUUACCAAGGCUUUGACUGGUAGCCGGCCGUAGAGGGUGAACGGCCCCAUUGGGACUGAGGUACGGCCCAGACUACUACGGGAGGCAGCAGUGGGGAAUAUUGCAUCAUGGGAGGAACCAUGAUGCCGCAACGCCGCGUGCCGGAUGACGGCCUUCGGGUUGUAAACCGCUUUCGCCUGUGACGAAGCGUGAGUGACGGUAAUGGGUAAAGAAGCACCGGCUAACUACGUG
rnacentral:rRNA from 1 species